CCACUCCUGCGCCCACCCACGCAGGGUCCCCGGCCCACGGCUGCUGCGCCAGGACUGGCAUGGGGCCAGGGCUUUGGAAGGAGGAAUCCACUGCCCCCACCAGGCACCGUGGAGAUGGCCCGGCCUUCCCCAGGGGAAGUGACUGACCUCAUAAAAGCAUAAACCAGAGGCUGCCCUGAAGCUGCUGGAGAUAAGGCCACCCUUGGCGGCCAGAUAAGCUGACGGUGGCAUCUGGGCCCUACAUGUGGUCCAGCACAGGCCCGGGGCAGAGGGCUUGCUGAGGGAGAUAAGGGGGAGACCCGGCCUUCCUGGCCGGCCUGCUCCGGGCACGAGGCAGUGGGGCCCACGUGGAAGGGCCCAGAAGGGCCGGGCUGUGGGGCUGGCCGCUGUCCCUGGGCUUGGGGGCAGUGGGCUUUGUUACUUGUUUGUGUUUUCUUGGUUGCAGGAAAGACAGCCCCCGGCCUGCAGCUCAGCGGUGACUGGUUUCUGUCCUCCUGUCCUCCCCGUCUGGCUGUGCUGGCCUCCCUCUGGGCAGACACCUCCCAGCCACCCUGCAGGAGGCCCCACCGACACCUCUGCUGGGCGGUUCUUCUCUCUUUCUUCAAGACGGAAGGUCAAGCAGGAGGGCCGCGAGCCAGCGUCACGGGGACAGGCUAAAAAUAGUCUCCUCACCACCGACCAGUCAGCCACCUGACCCCAGGAGGCAGCCGCUCGGCGCACAAAGGCCACCGUUUAUGGCCGCGGCUGUCACGGCCCGAGAACACCGUGCCCAAGGGGCCAUCGCGGGCCGCCUGGUGCUGCACUGUGGCAAGAUCCCAGAUGACCCCAGGCGAUCCCAGAGGAUCCCAGACGACCCCAGACGACCCCAGAGGAUCCCAGAGGAUCCUCUGGACGGUGCUUACAAGGCUGGUGCAGUGGGUGCCAACGGUCACUGUGUCGGUCAUCAGUGUGGCCACAGGACAGAACACAAGGUACCUGCCGCGUCCCAGGACCUCAGGGCGCCCUGCGGUUCUGAAGCCGUCCCUCGGGGCUGCCCGAGCAGCUGGCCUGCCCCCCGGGGGGCCACAGGCAAGUUCCUGCUGGGAGCAGCCCAGGCCCUGAAGGAGCCGGCACCCUCAGGACAGGCCGGAGACUCCCUAGAAGCAGGACGUGGGCAUCUGAAGCUGGGCACGGCCAGGGCCUGCUGCUGGAGGGCGGGGGGGGGGCUGGCAGGAGCCCUUGGCAGGCCCCAGGCCCUCGUUUGGGCUUGUAGGUGGGCUCUGAGCCCCCAGAUCUCCCACACGUCCCCAGACGGGGGCUCCUCCAGCCGAGAGCCACAAAGGCCACCGUGAACACGUGGAGCGUCGUCCAGCAGCUGCCCGGCCUGCAGGGGGCUCGGCCCCGUCAAGCCCCAUCGCAGCAGAGCUGCCCAGACCCGCCCGGCCCGGCCAGCGCUCUCUGGGUUCCCUUCUGAGGUCCAGGAAGGACGUUCCGUGGUGGCCCCGCAGGGGACUCGGGGGAAAUCAACAUCGUGCCAGCCCAGGAGAAGACCCUCGGAGCUCCAGAGCGCGCUGGCUCCCAGGGAGGGAAUUCAGAUGCGCUCCCAUCACCACCGACGUUAAUUGGUGUAGAGUAAAUUAUGGAAAUGCGAGGAGUCGUGCCUACCGCCUGCAUCUGUGAAACCGGGGUCCCUGGUCACGGCGCCCUCACACCCCAGGUGCCCAGAGAGGCUGCAGAAGCUCCAGCCUCCUCCCUUUGCCCUCUCUGAAAUGCCCUCUCCUCUGUUCUUGGAGAUGAAGCCCAAAGUCCAGCGUGGUUAGGAUGGGGUAGAGCCCAGUCUCCACGUCGGCCUAGCGCACAUGGCACCCGAGUUCUGCUCCUUUCCACCCAAAUCCCCCCGGGAAGCAAGUUCAUCGCUUCCACCUGACAGAUGACGCACAGAGAGGGUGUGGGGACCUCUGCAGGCUGCCCAGCCAGGAUUCGGCCCAGGCCCCUGGCCUCUCCGUACCAGGCCCGAGUGCAGACGGC